rnacentral:miRNA from 12 species
AAAGAUCUAGAUCUUAAAAUCUGCAAAACUUGGAUAUAUAUAUGUGUGUGUGUGUGUGUGUGUGUGUGUGUGUGUAUGUAUGUAUACACUUAUAUAAA